rnacentral:rRNA from 1 species
UUUGAGGAGCCCGCGGCCUAUCAGCUUGUUGGUGAGGUAACGGCUCACCAAGGCGUUGACGGGUAGCUGGUCUGAGAGGACGACCAGUCACACUGGGACUGAGACACGGCCCAGACACCUACGGGUGGCAGCAGUCGAGAAUUUUUCUCAAUGGGGGAAACCCUGAAGGAGCGACGCCGCGUGGAGGAUGAAGGUCUUCGGGUUGUAAACUCCUGUCAUUUGGGAACAAGGCUGUGCGGUUAACUGCCGUGCAGUUGAUAGUACCAGAAGAGGAAGAGACGGCUAACUCUGUGCCAGCAGCCGCGGUAAUACAGAGGUCUCAAGCGUUGUUCGGAUUCAUUGGGCGUAAAGGGUGCGUAGGCGGCGCGGUAAGUCGGGUGUGAAAUUUCGAGGCUUAACUUCGAAACUGCAUUCGAUACUGCCGUGCUUGAGGACUGGAGAGGAGACUGGAAUUUACGGUGUAGCGGUGAAAUGCGUAGAUAUCGUAAGGAAGACCAGUGGCGAAGGCGGGUCUCUGGACAGUUCCUGACGCUGAGGCACGAAGGCCAGGGGAGCAAACGGGAUUAGAUACCCCGGUAGUCCUGGCAAUAAACGGUGCACGUUUGGUGUGGGAGGAUUCGACCCCUUCUGCGCCGGAGCUAACGCGUUAAACGUGCCGCCUGGGGAGUACGGUCGCAAGAUUAAAACUCAAAGAAAUUGACGGGGGCCCGCACAAGCGGUGGAGUAUGUGGCUUAAUUCGAUGCAACGCGAAGAACCUUACCUGGCCUUGACAUGCAUCUCUAAGCUGGUGAAAGCCAGUGAAUCCCGAAAGGGACAAUUUGCACAGGUGCUGCAUGGCUGUCGUCAGCUCGUGUCGUGAGAUGUUGGGUUAAGUCCCGCAACGAGCGCAACCCCUGUGGACUGUUGCCACCGGCCCGUGAGGGUCGAGCACUCUGUUCAGACUGCC